UACGUAGGGGGCAAGCGUUGUCCGGAUUUAUUGGGCGUAAAGAGCGUGUAGGCGGCCAGGUAGGUCCGCUGUGAAAACUCGAGGCUCAACCUCGAGAUGUCGGCGGAAACCAUCUGGCUAGAGUCCGGAAGAGGAGAGUGGAAUUCCUGGUGUAGCGGUGAAAUGCGUAGAUAUCUGGAGGAAUACCGGUGGCGAAGGCGGCAUCCUGGACCGACAUUGACGCUGAGGAGCGAAAGCUAGGGGAGCAAACGGG
rnacentral:rRNA from 1 species